AUACUUACAUGGCAGAGGAGGUACCAUGAUCACCAAGGUGGUUUUCCCAGGGUGAGGCUUGUCCAUUGCACUCUUGGCGAUUUCCCCAAAUGUGGGAAACUCAACUGCAUAAUUCGUGGUAGUGGGGGACUGUGUUUGUCCUUCCCCAUC
ensembl:snRNA U1 U1 spliceosomal RNA